CUCAAAAAAUGAAAGUGCCUAGUAAACAUGAUAUUUUAUGGUUAGGUAACAUCAGUAGCUCCAGACCACAUCCAGGGUCACAUAACUUUUUUGUGCCUUUGAAAUCAACUCUGAUUAUGAUCACCAAAAUUAAUGGCGUAUUUACUUCCUUCAUGCAGUUUUGGUAGAAAAUACAUGAAAGGUGUUUUGUACAUUCUAAAGUAAUAUCCGUUCCUGUAUUUUUGAAAAAAGUGAACAUCUCAACAUAUUCCCUAUGUAAAGUGGGAUUCUGCAAUUUUGCAGUUCCAUCAUUACGUCAACUAAUAAGAUCAUUUCAAAAAUGUUAAGUGUAGCCUUUAGCCAUGUAAAGGUUGCAAACAUAUAUUUUAUGGAAUGUGCAAGUGGAAAAGUGAAAGAAUCAGAGCCUCAUUCUACUUUGUAGAAAUCAGACGGGCAGCUCAAACAUUGCUGCACUUUUAUUUCUACAAAUAGAAAAAAGAAGAAAAAAUGUAGGUUGAGUUCUAUGCUGCUUUUCUGAAAAGGGAGUUGAA